rnacentral:rRNA from 1 species
CGGCCUCAGAUUGGUAGGACUACCCGCUGAACUUAAGCAUAUCAAUAAGCGGAGGAAAAGAAACUAACAAGGAUUCCCCUAGUAACGGCGAGUGAAGAGGGAAGAGCCCAAGAUUGAAAGCUGGCGUCUUCGGCGUCCGCAUUGUAAUCUCAAGAAGUGUUUUCCGCUUCGGACCAUGCCUAAGUCCCUUGGAAAAGGGCAUCAUAGAGGGUGAUAAUCCCGUACAUGGCAUGGAGCGCCCGAAGCUUUGUGAUACGCUUUCUAAGAGUCGAGUUGUUUGGGAAUGCAGCUCAAAAUGGGUGGUAAAUGCCAUCUAAGGCUAAAUAUUGGGGAGAGACCGAUAGCGAACAAGUACAGUGAUGGAAAGAUGAAAAGAACUUUGAAAAGAGAGUUAAACAGUACGUGAAAUUGCCAAAAGGGAAGGGUAGGAGGUCAGAGAUGCGGCCUGGGAUUCAGCCUUGCUUUUGCUUGGUGUUUUUCCCAGUUUGCAGGCCAACGUCGGUUUUGGGCACUGGAGAAUGGUGGGAGGAACGUGGCACUCUUCGGGGUGUGUUAUAGCCUCCUACUGGAUACAGCGACCGGGACCGAGGACAGCAGCGUACUCGCAAGAGCGGGCCUUCGGGCACCUUUACGCUUAGGGCGUUGGCAUAAUGGCCCUCUACCA